UGAAUGCCUUUAUCAUCAUCAUUUGUAAUAACAAUAUCAUACACAUACACAACAAGAAGGAUUCUACUCGAUGAAGUAUGGCAAUAAAACUGAAAAUGAUCCACUGCACCUUGUUAAAGACCAAACUCAAGUACGACAACACUGAAACAACCAAAUCAUGCUCUAGGAGACUGUUUUAACCAUAUAGGGCCUUCUUGAACCAACACAUUGAGUUUGACUCCCCUUGAGCAACAAAACCAGGGAUGCUCUAUAUGGACCUCCUCCUCAGGAUCACCAUGCAAGAAAGCAUUCUUUACAUCUAACUAAUGCAAACGCUAGUGACAAGUGAUAGUUAAGGAGAAGAAUAGGCGUAUUAAUGUAAGUUUGGCAACCAAAGAAAAAGUGUUAGAAUAAUCCAAACCAUACACUUGAAUAUACCCUUCAAUAACAAGACAGACCUUCAGACGAGCUAAAGAACCAUUAGGGUUGACUUUCAUAGUGUAUACCCAACCACAAACUACCAUAGACUUGUCAGGAGGAAGAGAUACUAAGUGCCAAGUGCCAUUGUCCUGUAAAUCAUUCAUAUCUUCAACCAUAGCAUUCCUCCACCCAGAGUGGGCUAAGACUUUCGAAACAGAUUUAGGAAGGACAAUAGAUGAUAUCAUGAUAAAGCAGUAACAAAACAAUAUUAGGAGGGUGAUAAGUAGUCAUAACAAACAUAGUUGGAAAUAGGAUGCUGGGUACAUGUGCUUUACCUUUCCGAACAACAAUGGGAGGAUUAACAUCAUAGGAAAUAUGAUCAUCAAAUGAGGAACCCAAAGGUGUGGUAGUAGAAGCUAGGGGGGACUCGCUUCCUUGGAGCUGCCAUCGUGAAUACACCUACAAAUUAGGAUGAUCAAGGCAAUGAGAAGGGCUUGAACUAUAUGGAGACUCAAAUGGUUUUGGCAAAGACAACAAACUACAAUUUGGAAGAUUAGGCAGAGGAAGAGACUUAUUUAGCUCAGAAGCACUCAAGGAUUGGGUGUAGUAAGGUGUAGACUCAAAGAAGGUAACAUCUACAGGAACAAGACUAUAACAACGUUAUCCCUUUUGAGUAUAUGAGUAGCCCAGAAAGACACAUUUUAUAGCACAAGGAUCCAAAUUAUCCACCCAAGGAGUUAGUUGAUGAACAAAGGACACACACCUAGAUAUAUGAGGAGUAAGAGAGAAUAAAGGUGAAUUAGGAAAGAGGAUAGAGUAGGGAAUUUUACCACUAAGAACAGAGGAUGACAUCUUGUUGAUCAGAUAGCAAACAGUAAGUACACAAUCACUCUAAAACAUUUUAGGUACAUGCAUUUGAUAAGGUAAGGUGCAAGUGAUUUCAAGGAUAUGUUUAUUUUUCCUCUUUGCAACCCUAUUUUGUUGAGGAGUGUGGGCACAUGAUGAUUGAUGGACAAUACCAAAAUGAGUUAUAUAAGUAGUGAAUUGUGAAUUGAAAUACCCUUUAGCAUUAUCACUUUGAAGUAUUCAAACUAGCAAACCAAAUUGAGUCUUUAUUUCAUAGCAAAAGGCACAAAAUACAUGAAAUAACUUUGAACAAUCUUUUAUUAAAUAUUGCCAAGUCAUUCUUGAAUAAAUCAUCCACAAAGGUUACCAAGUACUAGAAACCCUUCUUGGACACGACUCUACUAGGACCCCAAACAUCAGAACGGACUAACAUGAAAGGGCUUGUGGCCCGUUUACUGAUUCGGAAAGCAAAAGGGAUAUGAUGAUGCUUUCCCAAUAGACAAGACUUACAAUCAAGAUUCGACACAAAACUCAAAUUAGGAACAAGACGUUACAACUUUUCCAGUAAAGGAUGACUAAGGCGACAAUUAAUUUGGAGAGCUGUGGUAGCAAUAGUGUAAGUAGUAAAAGGAGAUAGCGGCUUAAAGUGAUAAAGUCCUCUAGCUUCACGCCCUCGAUCAAUUUUCUUCCUCGUUUUCAAAUCCGGAAUAACAACAUAAGUAGGGAAGAAUGUUACUGGACAAUUCAUGGAUUUAGUAAUCUUUGCUAAAGAACAUAGGAUUGAAAGGAAACUUGGGAAUAUACAAAACUAAAGGAAUAGAAAUAUAGAGAAGUGGGAUUUAUAGUCCUAAUUCCCUUGAUGGUAGUGGUGGAUCCAUCAACAAGAGGAACACAAGGUAAAUUUGCAGAAUAUUGAAGAGUAGAAAAGAAAUUAGUCAUACCCGUGAUAUUAUCAGUGGUAGCGGAGUCUAUAACCCAUGGAAUAGGAUGAGAAGCGCUGGAUGACAAGCAUAUUAUGGGAUUACCUAUUUGGGCAAAAGAUGCAAUGGGAAGAGAAGCUUGGUGGUGUUUGCAUUGGCUGCCCCCAAAGGUGUGAAGUCGAUGGUGGCUGCAUUGGCAACACGUGAAGGUCUACUAUAGAGAUCCCAACAUUGCUUAACAGUAUGAUUACCUCGACUACAAUGAGUGCAUUUGCGAGGAGUGCCUCUACCUCGUCCAUCUUUACCAACACGACCACUUGAACCACCUCGAUAACUUUUGCGGUUGUUUGGUAGAGAACUAGAAUCGCCUUGUGUAGCAACGACUGUCCUUUUAGAGCCAGAUGCAAGAGCAAGAGAAUGUGUGCUAAAGGAUGCACGAAGGACACGAGAAUAAACAUCGGUAAAUGAUGACAAUUUUGCACUAUUAAGUAUAUGGGAGCGAAUUACCUCAAAAUUGGGUCUCAAGCUUGCUAGAACUCGAAGAAUUGUCAUCUUCUCCCUCUGCUUUUGCAUCUCAUGAACGUCAGUAGUUAUAGGUUACACUAUGUUAAGCUCCUCAUGAAUACAUUUCAUCUAUCCAAUAUAAUCUACAAUGCUCCUAUCUCCUUGUUGUAACUGGAAGUACUCUUGGGAUAAAUCAUACAUAUGUGUAAUGUUGCUAGAGUAUAGAAGCUUGACAUAAUCCCAAAUCUCCUUGCACGUAUCUAGGUGAACACACAUUUGUGUCAUCUGUGGCUCCAUUGAAUUCCACAAGAGAGAAACAAUCAAGGCAUCUUCUUGAAUCCACACAUCUUUUCUGUUCUCGUUAGAAGGAUCAAAUUGGAGCAAGUGGUCAAAUUUUCCACCAUUGAACAUAAUUCUAUCCAUCCAACUUUUGAGUUGUUAUCUGUGGCAGCGAUGAAGAAGACACGUUUUUGGGAUUCAUAGACUCCAUCCCAACACUCACAAACAAACAGCCACAUCAAUGUCAAACAAGAAGAACAAUCAAAACUAAUCAAGACAUUCACAAAUGAUGCAAAGCACUGACAUAACCACGGACGAGGUAAACAAAUUACCAACUGAUGUAGCUCUGUCACAGCCUCACAACUCAACGUACAAACGCUGUCACUGUUCAAAGAAACUCACAAAGAAGCCUUUACGAACACCAAACAAAAACUAAUUGAUUACCACGAAUGAAUGGUCAAAAAAGGUUCGAUCUUUGAGCAAAAAAAGGCCCAACAGCUUGAUGAUAUGGUCUAGAGGAGUCCAACAUUGCAGAGGGAAAAAAAAAAGAAAAAAGUUGGCAGAAACUCUCUCAUGUGCUGGCACUUGGGGUCGGCACUGCCAGCAGUUGGCCGGCACGUGGUGCUGUUGCCGGCAACGGGGUUUUGUAGGGGUAGGCUUUGGAGGGUUCUGUUUUUGGCUAUAUGGUUGGUUUUGUGAAAAAUGAAGGAUGAAGGUGGAUCUGAGAAGGGCGCUGAUGGGAUGGUGUUUUCAGGCAAUAGCUGUAUAUUAAAGCAUGAUCCGACGAUCACGCUUUAAUACCAUGUUGUGAUAUUGAUUAAAAUGAAUGACCUAGCUUGAAGAUAGGUCUCUCUCUCUAUUUAUAAUUCAAAUCAAAUACAUUCUAAUGACAAUAAUACCCUUUCUAACUCUCUCUAAUCAAUAUAUUAACAAACUUAAUAAUACUAAAAGACAUAAAUAAUCUCUUAACAGUUUCCAAAACUACAAAAGGAAGCAAAAUUGUCUGCCUAUCCAGCACACACUUGGGUCUCUAUACAUGCAAUUGAGCUCCCAUGACUGACAGACUCCCAAUCGGGAAGGAUGGUAUCAGCAAUGCUCCUUGUCUUCCAUGUUUCCUGUUGGGAGUGCUGAAGCAUUGUUUUGGCAUAACUUCUAUCUGCAGCAAUUACAGGUUUCUAACAUUUUUCUCAAGCUGACAGUCAACAAAAAGUUGAAAGCCCGCUUUUUGCUUAUGGAAUAUAUUUUAUUGUGGAUUUUGAGCAAUUGCUCAGGCUUUUGGAGGUUGACUUGUGUAAUAUAUAACACUGCUUCAGCCACCUCAAAUGCAAACAAGGCUCCAUUUUUCAAUGUUUUUUUUUUUUUUUUUAAAUGUAUUCAGCAUUUUGUGUUGAGAUUUGGGUGCUCCCCUGUAGCACCUUAUUUUAAGUCUAUAGAAAAGGGGACUGUUGAUCCAUUUCUUGCAGAAUGCACUAUACAUAGCAGUAGCAGUUCUUCGAGCUCUUAAAGGUGUUUUGAUUCUUCCUUGUCCCUAAUCUUGCAGUUAACAGGUCUGAAUUCUUAUCCUACUAUAUGCUUCUUGGUUUUUGUUUUAGUGGCGAUUGUGUAGCUUCUUUGUAUUGCCUUUUGUAUUAAUGAAGUAUUAAGUAUUAACUGAGGGAGGUUAAGAAUCAGAUGCAUGUUAUGGCAGAUUGAUCAGGAUUUACUUUCUUGAUUGAUUAUUUCUUUAAAGCGGCAUAUUAUGUUUCAAAAAAGGAAGGCCUUUGUGUCGUAGACUUAUUUAUAUUUCAUUUCAAAUGUCCUUGGUCGGCAGGAUGUUUCAUUUUUAUUUUUUAGAUCAUUAAGAGGGUUAAUUCAGUAAAGGGCCAUAAGCGGUGCUACCCAUUUACAAGUAGAAGGAAAAAAAUUAUCAGUUGUGUCACAAGAUUUCCUCAAAAUCUUAAACUGAAUGUAUGUCCAAAAGGAGCAAACCACUCAAGCAUUUUGUUAGAUGACUAAGCCAUCUAUUUUUAAAAGGCUAAGAGACAUAUAUGUUCCUUUGACUAUGGAGUUCUUUUAUGAAGCAAAUGUUUCUUUGUCCUGCUUGGUUGGUAGAGCAGGCUUCAAAAUGAUUUCUUCCCAUUAUAGUGCAAGACGUAUGAGUUCUCAUGUCCUUUAGUCACACCCAAAUCACCAACCAAGGAGCACACGGCCAAUAUAACCAAACAUCUUUCAUAAACAUGUAAGGUAAUGUUAUUAAUCCAAUAUAUCUUAUAAGGCUUUGGGUGAGGUUCUAGAUGAAGUUGCAUAUGAGUAACUCCAGCUGUAGAAACCAUAUUCAUAGGGCAUCGCCCAUUAAUGAUGAUUUUGCAAACAUUUCCUCCACACUUGAGAAAGGUGUGGAAAAGCUUGAAGUUGUGCCCAAGGUGUGAUAAAUGACAUUCCUUUUUCCAAUAAUUGUCAUCAUAUUGCUGGAUUUAUGCAUAUAUCCACUGCAACUAUGUCACCAAAAGUUUUUAACACAAUUUACUCAAAAGCCUGACUCCUAAUUUGUCAAGAACCUUCUUCAAUUCACAAAUAUUCGCAAUUGUCGUGCUGAGAUGAAAUCAAAUUCACUUAGAAAAUAUAAAAUGCAGCAAUAAACCUGAUUUUUUAUGCUGGCAGCGACAAUUAUCACUUACCUGAUAAAAUUAUCACUCUUGCUUGCAAAAUAUAAGAUCUCCAAUCAAAAUAUCACACCACAGAUCAAAAUAUCAUGGAAGAAACCCAAAAUCUUGUGGCUGGAUGAAUUUCUGGUGAGACUGGAAAUUGUAGAUCUUUCUAGAAAUUUUUUUUUCACAUGCCACCGGCAGCAAUUUCUAAUGAUAAAAUUUUGGGAGAAGAUGGAUCAGGCAGUGGGCUCUGAUACCAUUGAUGCAGGGGCAGCAUCAAAGGAUCUGCAGCCAUGGGAGAAUUUAGAGGAAAUUGAAGAGAAGAAGGAAAGGGAAGAGAGGAGAGAGGAGAUACAGUGGGGGAAAACUGAUGUUCACUUCAAAUUCAAAUUCAAAUUCAUCAGCCUACUUACAACAUGGCUUUCAUACCCUAUUUAUAAGAAAGCCUUAACACAUGAAACUACACAUAUAUGCCUAAAACUACAUUACAUUACAAACACACCUUUACAAUACACAAAUAUUACAAACAAGCUCCUGAAUACACAUAAUCUUAUACUGAUUGAACUAAACACAUAAUAAAAUAUUAACUAAACCCAAUAAUCCUUUGAUCUAGUUCUUCUUAAUUAUUCUCCAACAAUUAUCUUCCCAAGGUCUUGCUUCUUGUCCUACAUUUUCUUAAUAAAGUAUUUAUGAGGAAGGGUUUUGGUGACUGGUGGCGGGCUUGAAUGAGGAGGGUGCUUGUCUAAUGCCUUUCUCUUAGACAUCAUCAGUGGAGAGCCUGAAUUGUGGUUUAGGGCUUUGAGGGGGUAAGGCAAGGGAACCCUCUCCUUUUUUGUUCAUUCUUGUUGUAGGGGACUUGAGCAUAUUGGUUCAUAGGGCUAUGGUAGAGGGCUUGUGAGAGGGAUUGAGCUGGGGGCCAAAGGUUGUGGUGCCUUAUCUUCAAUUUUUGGGUGUCACUAUUUUUCUCUUAGAAGAUCAUGAGGAGUCCUUUUAAAAUAUGCUUACCAUUUUGCAACUAUUUGAGCGGGUUCUAGUUUAAAAUAAAUUUGGGGGAAGAGUGCAAUUGUAUCAAUUUGAGUGUGCCUAGAUAUUUGCGUUGUCCUUUUUAGCUAUGUGUGGUACUCUAGAUUGGCCUCUUAGGUUGGGUUGGGUUUUAGGAUUUUGUGGUAGAGAAGGUGGCAAGCCAUUGGGCUUGUUGAAGGAUUCUUUAUUCCCUCCAUUUGGCAUCUCAUUCAGGCUUGUCUUUCAAGUAUUCCUCUUUAUUUCUUAUUCAUUUUUAGAAUUCCAGUGGAUGUGGCUAGAAAUAGUGAGAGUUGUGAGAGAUUGUCUUUGGUCUGGGUUAGGGAAGAAGAAGAAUCAUCUAGUUAGUUGGGAGGUUGCUCUAAAAAGGAGAGAGUUUGGGUCUUGGUAAGCUUCUGCUUAGAGACAUUGCUUUAAUCGGUAAAUGGCUUGGUGUUUUCCCUUAAAGGAGUCUUUCCUUCACCACAAAAUUAUUGUAAGUAAAUUUGGCAUUUAGGGUAACGGAUGGGAUGCAAAUUUGGUCUCUUGAGAGUCCUUGGAAAUGUAUUCACAGAUAUAUCCUCUUUUUUUAUUCCUUACAUAAAAUAUAUUGUGGGUAUGGGUACCACAUUUGGUUUUGGGAAGAUAUUUGGUGGGUGACUUUGUGCGUAGCCCCUCUUUUCCUAGUUUGUAUAGGCUUCCCAUUGCAUAAUUGGUCUAUCUCUUCCUUUUUAUUUCAAAUGGGGAUGAAUUCUCUUGGUUUUUUCAUUUUCGUAGGUUUCUUAAUUAUAGGGAGUAUUGGAGAUCACUUCCCCAUUAUGCCUGUUAGAGGGUAGUUGACCCUCCUCUAGGAGGGACUGUUGGUUGUGGAUUCUCGAGUCUUUGGGGGAUCAUUCUUGCAAGUCCUUCGGUGAGCAUUUGACUCAUAAAAGCAUGUUUUCCUGCUUCAUUUUACUAUAUGGAAGGCCAAUGUCCCGGCUUUUAUUUCAUUAGUUGUUCUUGAUAGAGUUAAUACUAACUAUGUACAAUAGAGGCCUUUUAAGGCUUUACCUCCUGAUGUAUUUUCUUUAUGUUUUGAUUGUUGAAAAUCUGUUUCUCACCUGUUCCCUCAUUUUUCAUUUUCAUGGAAGGUGUGAAAUAAAUUAUUUGGCCUGUUUGAAGAGAAUUGGGGUUGACCAGAGUCUGUGAGGGAUUUAUCUCACAGUUUUUGGGAGGAAUGGAUGGUUCUGCACGGUUUUUUGCUGUAUUGUUGGAGUGGAAUGCAUGUUUUCACAGAAAAGAAGAUGUUUUUGUCCAUGCUUUGGGAUAGGAUUCAGUGUAUGGCCUCUUUGUGGGCUUCUGCAGUUGGUUGUUUCUGAGAACUGUCUUUUCAUAUUUACAGUGUGAUUGGUGGACAGUGGUGUUUUGAUAUUUUUUUCUUAUAUCUUCUAGGAGUUCAUAUGUUUUUUGUUUUUUUGUUUUGUACUUUUUUCUCUUCAGUGAAUUUUUUUAAUCUAAAAUAAAUAAAUAAAUGAACUGCUAUUUUUUAAUCAAUAGAAGCUAGCACUGAAUCAAAAACAGAUAUUUACAUUGACUACAUCUCGAAGAUCUAUUCCAUUGAGCCAUCUCUCUGCUCUGUUCAUAAACAGGAUGUAUAAAGAUCUAUCCAUCUAUACCUUUAAUCUGUACCAAUAUUUAUACGAGUUUAAGUGUUUUGAUGAGGUUGUCGAGCUUGGGUUAUCAAGUAUUUACUGAUAGCGGUUAUAUGGUAUCUGCUAUAUUUUUUCUCUUUCGCCAUCACUGGGCUUUCAAUGAUCUUAAACCAAUGCUCCUUUUUUUUUUUUUUUUCGUAUCAUUGGUAAGAGAGACUACACUUUGCUGCUAAUUUAUUUAUGCUCUUUAUCUUUUUUUUAAUUUUUUUUCUUUUUUAUCUUUUCCUUUUCUUGUUAUUUUGGUUUAGAUCAUUUAAUGUUAUUCUCUUCCGUGCUAAUUUAUUUAUGCUCUCUAUUUUCUUUUUUGUUUGUGUGUUUUUUUUUUUUUCAUAUUUUCUAUUGCUUUUCGUUUUGGUUUGGAUCAUUUUAUUAUUGUAAUGUGUGUAUGAACUUUUUUUGUUGAUGCUUUUCUUCAUUAUUAUUUUUAGUAUUUUUUUGUGAAUUUUAGGUGUUGAUAUGAGGUUGGGAUUGUGUAGAAUGUCAAUCAUUUCCUUGUCUCUCCCUGUUUGUGUUGAAACUAGACAUUUAUUGAACAUCACCAACAGAGCCGAUGAAGGUAUUCUAAUACUUACUAUUCUGAAGUAAAUACUUUUUUGUCAUGCUAAUGAAGGGACCUGCCUUGUAAAGUGAACACUGAUGUUGAUUUUACUUCCCCACUACGAUGCUUUAAUGCUGAGGAACAGGAUUAUAUGAAAAGGAAGCAAGUUCAAGAUCUCUGUUGCUUCUAGAAAAGAUCUGAUGCAUGAUUGUAAUUUUUUUAUUGUACAAUAGACUUCUUUUAAAAAAGAAUAUUUCUUUUCACCACAUUUCAACCAUUCAACCAUUUUAAGGAGUUAGAGAUGAAAUACUGUCAGAUUUUCAAUCCAAUUAGGCUUUUCAAUGCAUUUUCAGGUAUGGAACAUAGAUCUCACAUGACAAUCAUUAGGCAAAUAUUUAAGUUAAUUUCUAGGUUAGUUACUAUGUUAGCUGCUGCUGGCAUCAAGGAGACAAAUGCAGCCCCUACACAGUGUAUAUGCACAUGGAGCAAGUCAUGGUGUAAUUCAGUUUAACUAAAGCUUCCCCCUCCUCUCUGAAGCAACUCUUUCUUCAUAAAAGUAUGGAACUUUAUUAGAUCUUUUACAUGUACAUAGUGUUGGCAUGAGUAAGAAGAUAUUCCUUUUAACAAAAUUAGUUAAUGGCAGCAGAUGGUUGCAAUAUUUGAAGGAUAGGAUCAACAUCUAUGUGGUAUUUUUGUAGUGUGAUAUCUCAUCUUGGAAAUUUUCUGCCUUGGUAUGUGUGUGAGUGCAAACACACACGUGCGUGCGUGCACACACACACACACUUUGUUAUUUGUUUCAUUUGUGAUUAGUCCCUUUCUUCUGCCUCUCCUGUUUUUUUUUUUUUGGGUUUUCUUUUUGAUAAGUUGACUUUUUGGAAGUCUGCAGCAACUCUCACCAGUAACAAUUGUGUUCCCCUUGCUGGCUGUAAGUGAACUACACAUGAAGGAUACCUUCCAAAACCAGAAUUCUUGUGUCAUUUUCACUCUUAAUACAAGGAAGAGCUGCCUCUUGACAAUGAAUGAUUUUCUUCCUCAUAUUUUUGACAUUUUUGCAAUGAUGGGGGCUGGGGCUACUACAUAUGUGUCCCUUUCCAUAUCUUUCGACCUACAACGGUACUGGAAUAUUUAAUGUUCAAUUGUUGGAUUCUGAGAAUUGUUUGCUUCUAUGAAUUAUUAUGCAUGUGUUGGUGCAUGCAUAGUUUUUCUUGCAUUAAUAAAUAGUGUGCACUUAUAAUUGUCAUCGGGGAUGAUCGGGUGGUGGAGGAUUAUUGCUCAUUCAUGCAAGAGAUUUAGGUUCAUAUUUUCUUAGAAAAAAAUGAGUCUCAAGAUCUGCUUGCCUUGAAUUUUCUAAACCUUUCUUAAUCUAUACAGGGCAAUUAAUGCUGUCAACGUGAAGGUGAGUGACCAAGUAAUUACUUGCUUUUUGACAGUAAUUUGAUGUUCAAUCUAUGUUGUUUUUUUUUUUGUUGAAUCACAUGAUAAUUUUUUGUUUGCUGGAAUAUUUGGCUUUAACAGUAGUUUGUUCUAUGUAUUUCUUUAGCAUACUACAUAAUUAGUGUUGGAGGCAGUGAAAUGUAUAAUGUUCAUAUUCAUGUGAAACCACUGUUGUGGCAACACAUGGGAUUUUUGGAAGUGUUCAGUCCAAGGAAUGCAUGGACUUUGAUAUUUAAUAUGGAUAUUGUAUAGAAAUUUGGUUAUGCUGUUGUAGCUGGAAUGUUUUUUAUGCCUUGGAAUUUAUUAUCCUUGAUUUUAACAAUAAUUUAGGUGGUUAUUGAAGUAUAUUUGGGUUGACUUGGUUUGUGCAAAGCUUGACAGAAUAUAUUGAACAUGGUGCAAUACUGGUGCUUUUUUUUUUGUAUGUUGGAUAAAUGCAUCUUUAACUCUUGCCACAAUCUCCUAAAUCUUUUCACACACAGCCGGCUCGAAGCCCAGGUGAAGGAGAAUUGUGUAAGGUAGCUGACAGCCAAUAUAAAACUUGUUAGAUCUCUAUAAUAUGAAUUCUUACGGAUUAGGCAGAAAAGAAUUCAUGUGGCCCGACCCGCCUGAUGGGACUUAAGGUUUGGUUAGUUAUUGCUGUUAUUAGUGGAUAAAUUCAUAUUUACCAAAAAAUCAACGAAUAAAUGUGUACAUGAAUAAAAGUAAAUAUGCAGACAAGUGUAAGGUAUGUAGCUGACAGGAUAUUUGGGUUUUGGGGUUUUAGUUACAAUCCACAUUUGAAACAUUAUGUCUUCUGAGUUGGAUGCAUAGCACCAUUGUACAGAUAACUGCGUAUGUGUGCAUGUUUAAUUGUCUAUAUACAAUUGGGGCUGUGCUUAUGUUUUGUCAAUUAAUUUUCCUAUUUCUUAUUUUUCAUAGUGGCAGCACCGUUAAAAGAAAAGAAAUAUGUGCAUAUUAUGCUUUUACUGGGUUGUUCCAAACCUCAGUAGUGUGAAAGUCGAUAUGUUAAGUUCUUAAAGCAAGAGCAUCAAUUAGAUGCUAGAUAACAUUUUUCCUACCAAUUUUAGAAAACAUGGGCCUUAAAAACCACUACAAUUGUGUCAAACUGCGCCAUUUUAUUUUGGGGUGAAAGAAGACUGUUUCAAUAGGCAACUUUGACCGGUUCCAUGUGGUUCUCACUUGCAUGUCCUGAUCAUUUAAUUUUAGUUUAUUUAUUCUAACUGGGACAUAGUAAUCAUUACAUUUUAAUGUCUUUAUUCAGGAGAUAGACAACACUUGUCUUUGCUAGAACACUGGAGUGGACAAGAAAGUGAAGCUGUGGAGUUGUGGCCCUUGUGGGCUGCUUCAUCCCUCCAUCCAUCAUAAAAAAACCUCCAACUGCUUUGUUAUCAACCAGUAGCAGGAAGGAGCUCUCAAUUUGACAUUGUAAAUGACAUGCCUUCGGAGGCUUUGGCUUUGAAUUUUCAACAGGGCCAGCUUUUAAUGAGUAAAACAUUUCUCUCUUCCCUACUGGUGUUGCUCAGUGCUGUGACUAGGAAAGUUUCACACAAGCAUCAGUGGUUAAGUGGUUAUAGCAUCAAUGAGUGGGAGUUAAAACUGCUGUGAGAAUGGAGUACCUACAUCUAAUUUAACCGACUCAAUUGUGAUUUAUGUAUUUGUUUAGGUGGCAAUGCAGUUUAUGCAUGAGGAUUUGCUUGGCUUGAUUUUAAACCCCAAAAGAAUUUCUAGGUUCCAAUUCCUAUAAGGUUGGUGGAUCUAAAGAUGGCUUCAUUUCUUUUAAGAUAAAGACAUUGAUUUCUAUGACAGAAACACUGCAUGUGUGCUCCAUGGAGUUACUAUAAUAUAUUUUUUCAUAUUUUAUUUUAGGGAUGAAACAUGUUUCUUUUACAAAA